rnacentral:rRNA from 1 species
GACGAACGCUGGCGGCGUGCUUAACACAUGCAAGUCGAACGGAAAGGCUCCAGCUUGCUGGAGUACUCGAGUGGCGAACGGGUGAGUAACACGUGGGUAAUCUGCCCUGCACUCUGGGAUAAGCCUGGGAAACUGGGUCUAAUACUGGAUAUGACCUUUCUCCUUAUGGGGUUUGGUGGAAAGUUUUUCGGUGUAGGAUGAGCCCGCGGCCUAUCAGCUUGUUGGUGGGGUGAUGGCCUACCAAGGCGACGACGGGUAGCCGGCCUGAGAGGGUGAUCGGCAAGAUGGGGACUGAGAUACGGCCAAGCCCCCGGCGGGAGGCAGCAGGGGGGAAUAUUGCAAAGUGGGCGGAAGCCGGAUGCAGCGACGCCGGGGGAGGGAGGACGGCCUUGGGUUUGUAAACCUUUUUCAGCAGGGACGAAGCGUAAGUGACGGUACCUGAAAAAGAAGCACCGGCAAACUAUGUG